AGAGACUGGACUGCGCCUGCGGCAAGGAAGGACGGAGCAGAGCCACCUGAGGCCGAGCGGGAGCCAGACCCAGGGAUGACCGUCCUGGGGAGCCCCUCUGCACCCCGGAGGGGACGCAGGACGCCCGGAGCAGUCCCAGGCCCUGCCCCUCGCUUCACCCACGGAGCUCCUAGGUCUCUAUCGUGCCCAUCGUACCCGCUGCCCUGCACUUCCGCCCCAAGCUGGUGGAGGAGGGAGGGUGUCGCAGACACGGGAGCGCCGCGGACCUCCUACAGUCACCGUCCUGCGGCGCAUCGCGGGUGACCCAACAGCCUCCCGCUGCUCCCGAAAGUGGGACGGGGCCGGCGGAUCAUCCUCCAAGCCGGGGGCGGCCACAGGCCCGAUCAAUGCCAGGAUUCCUCCGACUCCAAGAAAGGCGACGGGGAGAAGCAGGAGGACUCGGAUGACUCCGGCACCAGGGAGGAGGGCGCCCGGGCCUCGCCGUCGCCAGGGCGGUCGGGACGGGGGGUGGCGGGCGGCGCGGGGCAGGGCCCGGUGCCCGGGAGGCCGCGGGAAGCGGGGGGCGUCGAGCCGUCGGGGGCCGAGCUCAGCAGCUCUUGCAGGUACUUUAUGUAGCGGAUGGCGGCGCGCAGCGUCUCCACCUUGCUGAGUCGCUUCUCAGCCAGGGCGCCGGGGAGGUGGCCGCGGAGGCGAGCGUAGCCCUCGUUGACGCACUUGACUCGCUGCCUCUCGCGCUCGUUGCGCUUCUGGAUGAAGGCUGGCUCGAAGGGGUAUUCGUAGACCCCGAAGGCGCCGGGGAAGGGCACGUAGGGGAACACCCCCGCAUAGGCGUCGUAGUAGGGCGGCUCUGCUGGGCCCGGGUACAGCAGGAAGGGCACGUUGCCC
rnacentral:lncRNA from 1 species